UGAUAUGAAAAUUAAAAACAACACAAAUAAAUUAUAACAAUUGCUAUUCUAGCUCUUUGCAUCGUUUCACCACCACCCAAUUGUCAGUCCAUACGAUUAGUGUUUGUUUGAAACACCUUGUUUUUUUGUAUAUUUGAUGUAGUUGUCAUAUAAACACAUAUAUCAUGGUUAAAAUGGUAUUAAAAGAACCAAAUAAAAAAUUUCAGGGUGAAAAUAUACAACAAAUCUAUAAAAUCAUAUAUACAAAAAGUAAUUGAAUCAAUUACAUAUAAAAAUGUAAGUUAACAACACAUAUGCUACAACAUAAAAAUAGCGACUAUCAAGGAAGAAAAAGUGUCGGUGUAAGAUCUUAGAGGAGUCAAAACAGGCUAUUGGAAAAAGUGUCUCUCUUUGAUUAUCUUGCUUGCUUUAUUUUGUUUAAACACUUUGCAAAAGAUUUUUAGAGAAAGCCAACAUAAUUCAACCCUCCCCCAUCCCACUAUUGCGUUUUUUUCCACCUUUUAUGUUAAGUUACGAUAUUUUGAUAGAUUUUUUUACGGAAUAUCUCCUAAAUUUAGAAAAAUCUAUCUUUGUGAUGGAAGCCACAAUUCUAAUAUUUUUAUCUAAUCAAUUUAGAAAAAUUUGAUCUACGAAAUCGAACCACUGAAAAUUAUAAUCUUUUUAGCUAAUCAAUUUAGAAAAAGAAAUUGGUAACCAUUUCAAGUCCUCGUAUAGGAUUUAUAGUUUUUAUUAUUCUAUAGAAAUCGUGCACUUGAAGCAUAUCAGUCUCCCUUUUGUGUCAUGUGAAAAGGUCAUAAAAUAAUGGAAACAUGGAAAUAAGAAUGAACUCUUCUAAUUGGUAAGUUUUUUAUAUGACCUCUUUAUUAAGCAUUAUACAGAGGCAAACAAUAUUUGUAUGUACUUAAGAGACAUUUAAUAAUAAUUCCUAUUUUAAGAUUUUUUUUUCCCAACUCCAUAAACCCUAAAACCUAUUAAAUGCAUAAAAGGAGACGACACGGUUUAUAAAUUAUAAAGUCAUAAAACCAUAUUCUAUUUCUCACAUGCAAAGGCGAAAAAAUAUGACUCAAAUUGUCAAGUUUGUUUAUAUUAUAAUUAUCUUUCUCUCUUUAUUUCAUGCUGCAAGGAAUGAUGACUACCAUUUGAAAUGUACGACUGAUUAUGAUUGUAGAGAAGGGUUCUGCCCAGAAGGUUUAGCUCCAAAGUGUUUUGUUAGUUUUGCUUUAGCCCGCUUCCUCUCAGAAGGCAGAUGUUUAUGUAUUUGAGUGAUGAGCCCAAUUGAUUCUAUUAUAAAAUGUCAUUAGCUAUCAUUUAGUUAUUAUAUUGGUGUUGAAGUUGAUUAUUUUUAUUAUUAGAAUAUGAAUUCCUAUCCACAGCCUCUUAUGUAAAAAACAGGGUAAGACUGCGUACAAUACACCAAUAAUGGUGGGAUCCCUUCCCGGACCCCGCAUAUGCGGGAGCUUUAGUGCACCGGGUUGUCCUUUAUGAAUACCUAUCAACAAUUAUCAACAAA